rnacentral:rRNA from 1 species
CUACGGGCCGCACCAGUGGGGAAUAUUGCACAAUGGGCGCAAGCCUGAUGCAGCCAUGCCGCGUGUAUGAAGAAGGUCUUCGGGUUGUAAAGUACUUUCAGCGGGGAGGAAGGGGGUAAAGUUAAUACCUUUGCUCAUUGACGUUACCCGCAGAAGAAGCACCGGCUAAGUCCGUGCCAGCAGCCGCGGUAAUACGGAGGGUGCAAGCGUUAAUCGGAAUUACUGGGCGUAAAGCGCACGCAGGCGGUUUGUUAAGUCAGAUGUGAAAUCCCCGGGCUCAACCUGGGAACUGCAUCUGAUACUGGCGAGCUUGAGUCUCGUAGAGGGGGGUAGAAUUCCAGGUGUAGCGGUGAAAUGCGUAGAGAUCUGGAGGAAUACCGGUGGCGAAGGCGGCCCCCUGGACGAAGACUGACGCUCAGGUGCGAAAGCGUGGGGAGCAAACAGGAUUAGAUACCCCAGUAGUC